UACGAGGGGGGCAAGCGUUGUCCGGAAUCACUGGGCGUAAAGGGCGCGUAGGUGGCGGCCCAAGUCCAUGGUGAAAGCUCGAUGCUCAACAUCGAGUCGGCCACGGAUACUGGGUUGCUCGAGCACUGUAGGGGCAGAUGGAAUUCCGGGUGUAGCGGUGGAAUGCGUAGAGAUCCGGAAGAACACCGGUGGCGAAGGCGGUCUGCUGGGCAGUUGCUGACACUGAGGCGCGACAGCGUGGGGAGCAAACAGG
rnacentral:rRNA from 1 species